rnacentral:lncRNA from 1 species
AUACCAUCAUUUCAAGAAAAGGAAAUUCACAUCCACUCAUUUCAAACAUGCUGAAUGUAUCAUAAACACUGCUUACCUUCAGCUAACAGUACAGGAGGGCUGGAGUUUGGGAUAACAGAUGACACCAAGCUGGUGGGAAGUGUCGAUCUGCCAGAGGAUAGAAAGGCCCUGCAGAGGAACCUGGACAAGUUGGAUCGACGGGCAGAGGCCAAUGGGAUGAAGUUGAACAUGGAUAAGUGCUGGGUCAUGCACUUUGGCCACAAUUAUCCCAUGCAGUGCUGCAGGCUUGGGGCAGAGUAUCUUGAAAACUGUGCAGAGGAAAAGGAUCUGGGGGUGUUGGUCAAUGCUCUCCUGAACAUGAGCUGGCGGUGUGCCCAGGUGGACAAGAAGGCCAAUAGCAUCCUGGCUUGUAUCAGGAAUAGUGAAACCAGCAGGACCAGGGAGGUGAUUGUUCCCAUGUACUUUGCUCUGGUGAGGCCGAGUACUGUGUUCAGUUUCGGGCCCCUCAGUCCAAGAAGGCCAUUGAGGCCCUGGAACACAUCCAGAGAAGGCCCACACAGCUGGUGGAGGGUCUGGAACACAAGUCCUAUGAGGAAUGGCUGAGGGAACUGGGGGUGUUUAGUCUGGAGAAGAGGAGGCUCAGGGGAGAGAGACCUUAUUGCUCUCUACAGCCACCUGAAAGGACGUUGUAGGGAGCUGGGGGUUGGCCUCUUCUCACAGAUAACUAGUGAUAGGACUAGAGGGAAAGGCCUCAAGUUGCACCAGGGGACGUUCAGGUUGGAAAUGAGGAGACAUUUCUUCUCAGAAAGAGCAGUCAGGCAUUAGAAUGGGUUGCCCAGGGAGGUGGUGGCAUCACCGUCCCCAAGGGUGUUCAAGAAAAGGUUGGAUGUGGUACACAGGGACAUGGUUUAGUGGGUGAUAUAGAUGCUACGGGGAUGGUUAGACAAAACAAUCUUGGAGGUCUUUUCCAACGUUAAUGAUUCUAUGCAAGGAUGUGUAUCGGCUAACAUCACUAAAACUUUACCUGUGUUUAAUAAAUUACAACAAAUUCACUACA